GAUGAACGCUGGCGGCGUGCCUAAUACAUGCAAGUCGAGCGAACGGACGAGAAGCUUGCUUUUCUGAUGUUAGCGGCGGACGGGUGAGUAACACGUGGAUAACCUACCUAUAAGACUGGGAUAACUUCGGGAAACCGGAGCUAAUACCGGAUAAUAUUUUGAACCGCAUGGUUCAAAAGUGAAAGACGGUCUUGCUGUCACUUAUAGAUGGAUCCGCGCUGCAUUAGCUAGUUGGUAAGGUAACGGCUUACCAAGGCAACGAUGCAUAGCCGACCUGAGAGGGUGAUCAGCCACACUGGAACUGAGACACGGUCCAGACUCCUACGGGAGGCAGCAGUAGGGAAUCUUCCGCAAUGGGCGAAAGCCUGACGGAGCAACGCCGCGUGAGUGAUGAAGGUCUUCGGAUCGUAAAACUCUGUUAUUAGGGAAGAACAUAUGUGUAAGUAACUGUGCACAUCUUGACGGUACCUAAACAGAAAGCCACGGCUAACUACGUG
rnacentral:rRNA from 1 species